rnacentral:rRNA from 1 species
UACGUAGGGAGCGAGCGUUGUCCGGAUUCAUUGGGCGUAAAGAGCUCGUAGGCGGCUUGGCAAGUCGGGUGUGAAAACUCCAGCUCAACCUGGAGACGCCACCCGAUACCUGCCAUGGCUAGAGUCCGGUAGGGGACCACGGAAUUCCUGGUGUAGCGGUGAAAUGCGCAGAUAUCAGGAGGAACACCGGUGGCGAAGGCGGUGGUCUGGGCCGGAACUGACGCUGAGGAGCGAAAGCGUGGGGAGCAAACAGG